CGCACAUUGCGCCCUCUGGUAUUCCGGGGGGCAUGCCUGUUCGAGCGUCAUUACAACCCUCAAGCUCCGCUUGGUGUUGGGCGUCACCGCGUGCGGUGCGCCUCAAACGUAGUGGCGGCGCCGUCCGGCUCCUAGCGCAGUAACAACUCUCGCUACGGGGACCGGCUGAGCGCCCGCCAGCAACCCACACUUCUAAAGGUUGACCUCGGAUCAGGUAGGGAUACCCGCUGAACUUAA
rnacentral:misc_RNA from 1 species